rnacentral:tRNA from 1 species
AGCCCCGUAGUGUAGCGGUCAAGCAUGUCGGGCUCUGGACCUGGCGACGGCAGUUCGAAUCUGCCCGGGGCUA